rnacentral:lncRNA from 1 species
UUGCUUGGUUUUUUAGAUGGCCUGCCUCUUCUCCUCUGAAAAAUAUAUUAAGUUAUACCUCAUGACACCAAAUAGAAUUGUUAACAUAAAUCAAUUAAUACAUGUUUACCUUUUCUGGUGGUGGUUUAUGCAAAACUUCAUUCUUACAUCCCUGAUGUUAUGCCCUUCUUGAUGACACUUUCUACAAGUCAUCCUAACACUAUGCUUGCUCAAUUUGUGGGGAUUAUUUUCCUCAGGAUCUCGUCUCCUCUUUUUUUUAGGUCUCCCAGGCAUUUUUCUAACUUCUGGAGGCUUCACAAUGGAACC